AUGCCGUUUUUGGCCAAUAAAUUAAGUUGAAACGCGUGGAUGCCACGAAAAAUCCAAUCCCAUUGUUCUUUGAUUUGGUCUCUCUGGCUCAAGACCCCAGCCCAAGGGCUAUCGUGCGUUUACUUGUUUUGGGUAUUACGAAGAAGCUGAUGAUGGUUUGGUUAGUCCAGACCUAGCUCCUAACCUCUAACCUCCUACGUUGAUAUGGAAAAUUGGAAAUAAUAUAUACAUAUAUAGAAUAGGGAAUCUAGAUACCUUACAUACAUACAUAGAUUUGUACUACUCCAUGUCCACCGUCACUAACAUUCUUCUAUAUUUAUACCAUAAUAUCCCAUCUCUGCCGAUCUCAUAUCUUCUCCGUAUCUCUGAUUUCCUUAAAUUAACACAUAUUCGGCCUUAUUUGUGUUCUCUACCGUGGCUGCUCUGCCGUUUUUUACCCAUCAUCUCUUUUGCUCGCCUUACUGAGAUUCUCCACAGGUUUCUGCUCUACCCAUCACUUUUAAGAUACAUCAUAGAAUCCGAUCAUGUUUUCUCGAAGACGCAUUCAGCGAGGACUUUGCUCUCUCAAGAAUAUUCUCUGUUUCAACCAUUUCAGCUCGUCAAACGAAUACGAAUGCUUCCUAUUGUCCAAAGACGACGACCACAAUCAACUUCCGGUUCCAAAAGGCUUUUUUCCGGUAUAUGUGGGAGAAGAUCGGCACAGAUACAAUGUUCCCCUAGAGUAUUUGUCGUUUCCAAGUUUUGAAGCAUUACUUAAACAGUCUGUAGAGGACGAUUAUUUCGAUCCCAGAAUUGAUGGUCCCAUUACCAUACCUUGCACAACUAAGACGUUCGAAGAGGUACUGAAGUUUAUCCGGGAGAAACAGGAAGAGAAGGACGAGGAGGAGGAGGGAACUGAUCGACAUUCAGGUCAUAAUGGUCUUAUUGUUUGUCAUAAUCCCACACCAGUGCACCCACGAUCACAUUCUUCGUCUUCUUCUUCUUCUUGUACAAUGGUUUGUUGUACAGAAACAACUAGCUUUCAUUAUAUAUAAAUCAAUGAAUGUCCUCGUAUUAGAUAUUAAA